AGAAAACCAGUUUCAAGUCAAAAUAAUAAAUCUGGGAGACACUAAAGCAACAAUUGCAACUGCUGGAGAGAGCAUUCCCUUGAAUCCAUUUAAUGCGACUGAAUAUAUCACAUAUGAAAUGAAGACGUCAAACAAUAUUGGCAUAUCAUAUCUAAAUGGAUCUCUAACAGAAAAAAUGAUUAAUAUGGGGAAACAACGACACACUCUUGUAGUAAAAAAUAACCCUAAAAUUGAAACAAAACUGUUUAUAGAUGACAUCACAGAAAAACCAGAACAAG
rnacentral:lncRNA from 1 species